UUAAGCGACUAAGCGUACACGGUGGAUGCCCUGGCAGUCAGAGGCGAUGAAGGACGUGCUAAUCUGCGAUAAGCGUCGGUAAGGUGAUAUGAACCGUUAUAACCGGCGAUUUCCGAAUGGGGAAACCCAGUGUGUUUCGACACACUAUCAUUAACUGAAUCCAUAGGUUAAUGAGGCGAACCGGGGGAACUGAAACAUCUAAGUACCCCGAGGAAAAGAAAUCAACCGAGAUUCCCCCAGUAGCGGCGAGCGAACGGGGAGCAGCCCAGAGCCUGAAUCAGUGUGUGUGUUAGUGGAAGCGUCUGGAAAGGCGCGCGAUACAGGGUGACAGCCCCGUACACAAAAAUGCACAUGCUGUGAGCUCGAUGAGUAGGGCGGGACACGUGGUAUCCUGUCUGAAUAUGGGGGGACCAUCCUCCAAGGCUAAAUACUCCUGACUGACCGAUAGUGAACCAGUACCGUGAGGGAAAGGCGAAAAGAACCCCGGCGAGGGGAGUGAAAAAGAACCUGAAACCGUGUACGUACAAGCAGUGGGAGCACGCUUAGGCGUGUGACUGCGUACCUUUUGUAUAAUGGGUCAGCGACUUAUAUUCUGUAGCAAGGUUAACCGAAUAGGGGAGCCGAAGGGAAACCGAGUCUUAACUGGGCGUUAAGUUGCAGGGUAUAGACCCGAAACCCGGUGAUCUAGCCAUGGGCAGGUUGAAGGUUGGGUAACACUAACUGGAGGACCGAACCGACUAAUGUUGAAAAAUUAGCGGAUGACUUGUGGCUGGGGGUGAAAGGCCAAUCAAACCGGGAGAUAGCUGGUUCUCCCCGAAAGCUAUUUAGGUAGCGCCUCGUGAAUUCAUCUCCGGGGGUAGAGCACUGUUUCGGCAAGGGGGUCAUCCCGACUUACCAACCCGAUGCAAACUGCGAAUACCGGAGAAUGUUAUCACGGGAGACACACGGCGGGUGCUAACGUCCGUCGUGAAGAGGGAAACAACCCAGACCGCCAGCUAAGGUCCCAAAGUCAUGGUUAAGUGGGAAACGAUGUGGGAAGGCCCAGACAGCCAGGAUGUUGGCUUAGAAGCAGCCAUCAUUUAAAGAAAGCGUAAUAGCUCACUGGUCGAGUCGGCCUGCGCGGAAGAUGUAACGGGGCUAAACCAUGCACCGAAGCUGCGGCAGCGACGCUGAUGCGUUGUUGGGUAGGGGAGCGUUCUGUAAGCCUGCGAAGGUGUGCUGUGAGGCAUGCUGGAGGUAUCAGAAGUGCGAAUGCUGACAUAAGUAACGAUAAAGCGGGUGAAAAGCCCGCUCGCCGGAAGACCAAGGGUUCCUGUCCAACGUUAAUCGGGGCAGGGUGAGUCGACCCCUAAGGCGAGGCCGAAAGGCGUAGUCGAUGGGAAACAGGUUAAUAUUCCUGUACUUGGUGUUACUGCGAAGGGGACGGAGAAGGCUAUGUUGGCCGGGCGACGGUUGUCCCGGUUUAAGCGUGUAGGCUGGUUUUCCAGGCAAAUCCGGAAAAUCAAGGCUGAGGCGUGAUGACGAGGCACUACGGUGCUGAAGCAACAAAUGCCCUGCUUCCAGGAAAAGCCUCUAAGCAUCAGGUAACAUCAAAUCGUACCCCAAACCGACACAGGUGGUCAGGUAGAGAAUACCAAGGCGCUUGAGAGAACUCGGGUGAAGGAACUAGGCAAAAUGGUGCCGUAACUUCGGGAGAAGGCACGCUGAUAUGUAGGUGAAGCGACUUGCUCGUGGAGCUGAAAUCAGUCGAAGAUACCAGCUGGCUGCAACUGUUUAUUAAAACACAGCACUGUGCAAACACGAAAGUGGACGUAUACGGUGUGACGCCUGCCCGGUGCCGGAAGGUUAAUUGAUGGGGUCAGCGCAAGCGAAGCUCUUGAUCGAAGCCCGGUAAACGGCGGCCGUAACUAUAACGGUCCUAAGGUAGCGAAAUUCCUUGUCGGGUAAGUUCCGACCUGCACGAAUGGCGUAAUGAUGGCGCUGUCUCCACCCGAGACUCAGUGAAAUUGAACUCGCUGUGAAGAUGCAGUGUACCCGCGGCAAGACGGAAAGACCCCGUGAACCUUUACUAUAGCUUGACACUGAACAUUGAGCCUUGAUGUAGGAUAGGUGGGAGGCUUGGAAGUGUGGACGCCAGUCUGCAUGGAGCCGACCUUGAAAUACCACCCUUUAAUGUUUGAUGUUCUAACGUUGACCCGUAAUCCGGGUUGCGGACAGUGUCUGGUGGGUAGUUUGACUGGGGCGGUCUCCUCCUAAAGAGUAACGGAGGAGCACGAAGGUUGGCUAAUCGGUCGGACAUCAGGAGGUUAGUGCAAUGGCAUAAGCCAGCUUGACUGCGAGCGUGACGGCGCGAGCAGGUGCGAAAGCAGGUCAUAGUGAUCCGGUGGUUCUGAAUGGAAGGGCCAUCGCUCAACGGAUAAAAGGUACUCCGGGAUAACAGGCUGAUACCGCCCAAGAGUUCAUAUCGACGGCGGUGUUUGGCACCUCGAUGUCGGCUCAUCACAUCCUGGGGCUGAAGUAGGUCCCAAGGGUAUGGCUGUUCGCCAUUUAAAGUGGUACGCGAGCUGGGUUUAGAACGUCGUGAGACAGUUCGGUCCCUAUCUGCCGUGGGCGCUGGAGAACUGAGGGGGGCUGCUCCUAGUACGAGAGGACCGGAGUGGACGCAUCACUGGUGUUCGGGUUGUCAUGCCAAUGGCACUGCCCGGUAGCUAAAUGCGGAAGAGAUAAGUGCUGAAAGCAUCUAAGCACGAAACUUGCCCCGAGAUGAGUUCUCCCUGACUCCUUGAGAGUCCUGAAGGAACGUUGAAGACGACGACGUUGAUAGGCCGGGUGUGUAAGCGCAGCGAUGCGUUGAGCUAACCGGUACUAAUGAACCGUGAGGCUUAACCU
rnacentral:rRNA from 1 species